GACGAACGCUGGCGGCGUGCUUAACACAUGCAAGUCGAACGGAAAGGCCCUGCUUUUGUGGGGUGCUCGAGUGGCGAACGGGUGAGUAACACGUGAGUAACCUGCCCUUGACUUUGGGAUAACUUCAGGAAACUGGGGCUAAUACCGGAUAGGAGCUCCUGCUGCAUGGUGGGGGUUGGAAAGUUUCGGCGGUUGGGGAUGGACUCGCGGCUUAUCAGCUUGUUGGUGGGGUAGUGGCUUACCAAGGCUUUGACGGGUAGCCGGCCUGAGAGGGUGACCGGCCACAUUGGGACUGAGAGACGGCCCAGACUCCUACGGGAGGGAGCAGUGGGGAAUAUUGCACAAUGGGCGGAAGCCUGAUGCAGCAACGCCGCGUGCGGGAUGACGGCCUUCGGGUUGUAAACCGCUUUCGCCUGUGACGAAGCGUGAGUGACGGUAAUGGGGAAAGAAGCACCGGCUAACUACGU
rnacentral:rRNA from 1 species